GGUCCAUGCGUCCUAAUCGCGGGAGCUGCACAUUAUUUCUUCGUGAAUUAUCGUUAAGAACGUUUCACAUCAAACCGCUCAUCGGCUCAUCUAUUUAUUAUGUAUUAUAUGGUAUGAGGGGCGUUCGCUCCCAGCUCACAAAGCAUUUGUGAUAUAAUUUGGGUCGAUGAUAUCGCUCGUCAAAAAACAAUUGCCAAACUGCAGGUCAACGCGGGUUACCGACCAUUCCUAAAAAAAUACCACAUAUCUAUGAUUUUGGCGGGAUCUUGAACACUAUCAGAAAAGAAUAAAAUAUGAAGUUCGUAACCUCAAAUAAGUGUAACCUGCAGCGCCCGUGAGUAAAAAUUGAACUAAAUCCGACUCGGCAAGCGGACAACUGAUGAGGACUUUCUGUCAGGCCAUACUAUCGUCAAACACCGUGUUUUCGGUAGUCGAGGUCAUCGCGGGCGGGCAGUGUCGAAAUGUGUUGGCGAUCGCGGCGGGCGGUAUACCGGCAAAGGGACCGCGAAGUCGAGUGACCGCGGAUCGACGUUUGACGGAGCGAAAACCGCGUUUGUAGUACCAGGGUCCCAUGCGAAAGUGAACUGCGUUCACUGUGAAGCGAUCGUAGCCGUUCAUUCGUCGUCGGCGUGUCUCGAUUACGCGGAUGUUUCAGAUACGUUCCUGGUACUAAUGGUCUGAUAGUUUGCGUUGAACGCUCGUAUGAAGGUAUGAAGGUUUUUUUUUUUAUGAAGAGAACGUGUCAUCUUAGAAUAAUAUGCCGAAAAAAACACGUUUUCGUACUUAAGUAAUACGGCUUUUUGAAGAGUUUUACGUGAAAAACACUUAUAAUGAAAAUUGUAGAGGGGAUUUUUACCUAGAAUUGU